GCGCCUAUAGUGUAACGGAUAACACUUUGGUCUUCGGAACCAACAUUGAGGGUUCGAAUCCUUCUGGGCGCGCCA
rnacentral:tRNA from 1 species